CCCUUAGAUGUUCGGGGCCGCACGCGCGCUACACUGAAGGAAUCAGCACGUCUUUCUCCUUGUCCGAAAGGACUGGGUAACCCGCUGAACCUCCUUCGUGCUAGGGAUUGGGGCUUGUAAUUCUUCCCCAUGGACGAGGAAUUCCCAGUAAGCGCGAGUCAUAAGCUCGCGUUGAUUACGUCCCUGCCCUUUGUACACACCGCCCGUCGCUACUACCGAUUGGAUGGUUUAGUGAGAUCCUCGGAUUGGUCCCGGCGCGGCCUCUGGUCGUGCCGGAGUGCCGAAAAGAAUGUCGAACUUGAUCAUCUAGAGGAAGUAAAAGUCGUAACA
rnacentral:rRNA from 1 species